rnacentral:rRNA from 1 species
GUGGGGAAUAUUGGACAAUGGGCGAAAGCCUGAUCCAGCAAUGCCGCGUGAGUGAUGAAGGCCCUAGGGUUGUAAAGCUCUUUUACCCGGGAUGAUAAUGACAGUACCGGGAGAAUAAGCUCCGGCUAACUUCGUGCCAGCAGCCGCGGUAAUACGAGGGGAGCUAGCGUUGUUCGGAAUUACUGGGCGUAAAGCGCGAGUAGGCGGUUUUUUAAGUCAGAGGUGAAAGCCCGGGGCUCAACCCCGGAAUUGCCUUUGAAACUGGAAAACUAGAAUCUUGGAGAGGUCAGUGGAAUUCCGAGUGUAGAGGUGAAAUUCGUAGAUAUUCGGAAGAACACCAGUGGCGAAGGCGACUGACUGGACAAGUAUUGACGCUGAGGUGCGAAAGCGUGGGGAGCAAACAGGAUUAGAUACCCCAGUAGUCC